CCGAUGAUGUUGAGUCUAAUAACUCCGCCAUACUUCAACUGAUUUUAUUAAUGAAAACUUCCUCAUAAACGUCACAUCAUAGGCUUUACAGUGAUAUGAUUGGUUAAGGGAUUUGUGGCGCGAAACUGUUUCACUGCUUGAAGAGAAAACAAGAAGUUGAAACGUCAUUCUGCCUGCUGAAUCUAAAGGAGCAACGCUAGCUGUCACCAUACAUCAGACAUCAUAACGUCGUUUGAAGGACAAACUGGUGGAUCAAUUGAGAUGGAGGGGGAGAAGAGCCAGUAUGCACGGUUGAUGGAGUCUCUCAAGGAAAGGAGACAACUGACUGCUGAGGAGCUCCAGGUCAUCGGUGAGCAUCAACUACAGGAUCAUGAAGGGAUGGACACUGCAGAGGAGGAGAACCUGGAUAGCCAGCUACUGAGUGAAGAGGAUGUGGAAGAAGAGGAGGAGAGUGAUCUCCCAUCAUCCUCAGCUGGAUGGAGGGGGAGAAGAGCCAGUAUGCACGGUUGAUGGAGUCUCUCAGGGAAAAGAGACAACUGACCGUUGAGGAGCUCCAGGUCAUCGGUGAGCAUCAACUACAGGAUCAUGCAGGGGUGGACAUGGAGGAGUACCUGGAUAGCCAGCUACUGGGUGAAGAGGAUGUGGAAGAAGAGGAGUAGGAGGGGAGUGAUCUCCCAUCAUCCUCAGCUGAGUAACAAUGUUUGUG